AUAGACAAUAUUUCUACGGUAAUAUAUUGGAUUUACUUUCUUAAACAAAAUAUAUAUUUGAGAGAAACUUAUCCAUAUUGCAUUCAUUUUAUAGAAUUGCUGAAAACCAACUUGAAGCAACAAAGGACUGGAAUAUUAAUUGCACAUUGUUGUAAAGAAAGGGAAAUAAUUUCUACGAAUUGCUGAAAACCAACUUGAAGCAACAAAGGACUGGAAUAUUAAUUGCACAUUGUUGUAAAGAAAGGGAAAUAAUUUCUACGAAUUGCUGAAAACCAACUUGAAGCAACAAAGGACUGGAAUAUUAAUUGCACAUUGUUGUAAAGAAAGGGAAAUAAUUUCUACGAAUUGCUGAAAACCAACUUGAAGCAACAAAGGACUGGAAUAUUAAUUGCACAUUGUUGUAAAGAAAGGGAAAUAAUUUCUACGAAUUGCUGAAAACCAACUUGAAGCAACAAAGGACUGGAAUAUUAAUUGCACAUUGUUGUAAAGAAAGGGAAAUAAUUUUAUCAUCUGUAAAAGUGACAUCCUGCAAAACCAAGCAAACGGAAGCAGAAUAAUAUAACAUUAUCGCUGCUAAGUGUUAUAUCACGCGACAAUGUUAUUAUUAAAUGACAUCAUUGGGCACGUUAUCGUCAUCAAGAUCAGGGGCCUAACAGUGGACGAUUCAAAUCUACAGGCAUAUCGUGUCUUGCAAGUGUCAUCGUUCAAUAAUAUUAGCAAGGACAUGAAAAUUCUAGCGAGACGAAGCACCAGGUCCUCUUGUCCGCCCACUUCUCGAUACCUGAACAAUAGCGGCGAUUCUCAAGCUCUGUUUGCUGAUGGGCUGCUUGCACUGUUGACACUUGGAGCGGUCGCUUUUCGCGUACUCCGCCCGAUACGGCAGGUCGUCGCUCAUUUUCGCGGAUCCUCCGUCUCGAAAUUGCGAUUUGCAAAA
rnacentral:lncRNA from 1 species